GAGCAUGUUAGCUCGUGCCAUGGACUUCUGGUCUAAAGGAACAAUGAAAGCCAUAUUUCUUGAACAUGAGGUAUUUAGUUGUUUGAAAAUUAAAUUUGAUGAAAUUGCAUGGUAAUAUUUCUGAAAGACAUGCACGAUUUUUAAUUUGGUUUGUCUCUAUUUUUGCAAUUAGGAUACGAAUUAAUCCUGGAUUCAUCGAUUCUUCUGUUUCAUAUUCCUUUAGAGCCUGAAAUAGCGAUCGGACAUUUUCCGAUAAAAUUACAGCUUUUCUGACCAAAUGCUAAUUUGGUCGGACAUUACUAAAAUCACGUUAGUUUAAUUAGCCAUACUGUAUAGCGUUUCGCAUAAAAUAUUAAUCGGAAAGAAAAGCCCGAUUAAAUUUGAAAAUUUCACAUCAGAUUUCAUUUUGGUUGGACAUUUCCCCCAGGCAAUUUUUGACCAUUAUUUCAGGCUCUUUAGGGGUUAGGGGUUGGGGGUUAGAGGUUGGGGGCGGAUUGGGAGUGCUCAGGUAUAUACUUGAACGCCCGAAAUUUGGCUUCACCCAAACAUAGACCUUUAUCAUAGGAGUUAUCGUUCCAGUUUACUUCUAGUUCAAUGCUUCUCACUACGUUUAAGACAAUAUUCUCUCUUUUUCAAUUUCUGUUACAUUCAGGGCUAUUGUGGUGCCGUAGGAGCCUUGUUGGAAUCACUGAGUGACGUCACAUAAACCGUCCUGGCAUUCACUGACACGUGACAAAGUAUGAGAAACCAGUACUGGAGCAGAAAAGGUAGCAAAUACUUUAAAUUGAUGAAUGCUUUUGAUCCAAGCAAAUAUUCGUUCUGUUCUUGAAAUGGGCACAAAUGACCGUUAUUAACUACCCUGAAGACUGAAGUUUUAUGCAAGAUUAAUUAACGACAUCAAUAAGAUUGAAUGUAAAUGUUUCAAGUAAACCACUUUAGAUUUGUAGAGUAUAAAAUACUUUUACAUACUGUUGUACGAGAGGUAGGAUGUGAAAUCCCAAUAUAAGCGCCCUGCAUGAAACAGUUUAUGAGCGCUCUGUGGCAAUUGUAUCGUGUAGCAAACUAAGAAAAAGGAAAAGUGUUUUGGGUCGACGAAGCUGAUGCGUCUGAAAUGGCUGAUAGAUUGUUUAAUUUGCAACGGCAAGGUGGACGGUUUAGUAUACGCAUUGAAAUUUAGAAUUACAUUCAUCAAUUUUAUCUAUUUUCCAACAC
rnacentral:lncRNA from 1 species